rnacentral:snRNA from 1 species
GUGCUUGCUUUGGCAGCACAUAUACUAAAAUUGAAAUAAUACAGAGAAGAUUAGCAUGGCCCCUACACAAGAUACACAAAUUUGUGAAACAUUUCAUAUUUAA